rnacentral:rRNA from 1 species
UACGGGGGGAGCAAGCGUUGUUCGGAUUUACUGGGCGUAAAGGGCGCGUAGGCGGCGUGACAAGUCACUUGUGAAAUCUCCGGGCUUAACUCGGAACGGUCAAGUGAUACUGUCGUGCUAGAGUACAGAAGGGGCAACUGGAAUUCUCGGUGUAGCGGUGAAAUUCGUAGAUAUCGAGAGGAACACCGGUGGCGAAGGCGGCCUUCUGGACAGUGACUGACGCUGAGACGCGAAAGCGUGGGGAGCAAACAGG